UAGGGAAUAUUGCACAAUGGGGAACCGUAGCAUGCAGCGACGCCGCGUGAAGGAAGAAGUAUCUCGGUAUGUAAACUUUUAUCAGCAGGGAAGCCAAUGACGGUACCUGACUAAGAAGCCCCGCGUACAUACGUGCCAGCAGCCGCGGUAAUACGUAGGGGCGAAGCGUUAUCCGGAUUUACUGGGUGUAAAGGGAGCGUAGACGGAUCUGCAAGUCUGGAGUGAAAAGCCCGGGGCUCAACCCCGGCAGCUGCUUUGGCAAUGACUGUGGAUCUAGAGUGCCGGAGAGGUAAGCGGAAUUCCUAGUGUAGCGGUGAAAUGCGUAGAUAUUAGGAGGAACACCAGUGGCGAAGGCGGCUUACUGGACGGUAACUGACGUUGAGGCUCGAAAGCGUGGGGAGCAAACAGGAUUAGAUACC
rnacentral:rRNA from 1 species